GUCCACGCCCUAAACGAUGUCAACUAGCUGUUGGGGCCUUCGGGCCUUAGUAGCGCAGCUAACGCGUGAAGUUGACCGCCUGGGGAGUACGGUCGCAAGAUUAAAACUCAAAGGAAUUGACGGGGACCCGCACAAGCGGUGGAUGAUGUGGAUUAAUUCGAUGCAACGCGAAAAACCUUACCUACCCUUGACAUGUCUGGAAUCCCGAAGAGAUUUGGGAGUGCUCGCAAGAGAACUGGAACACAGGUGCUGCAUGGCUGUCGU
rnacentral:rRNA from 1 species